rnacentral:rRNA from 1 species
GCCUUUCGGAGUGGUACACUCCAACCCUUGCGAACCGUACCCAAUCUCGUUCUCGUUGCUUCUGGCGGGGGGGGACGGGGGGGCGCCCGAGACGGCCCCCUCCG